AAAGGAAGAUUAAUACCGCAUAAAGCCAAGUUUCACAUGAAAUUUGGAUGAAAGGAGUAAUUCGCUUUGAGAUGGACCCGCGGCGCAUUAGUUAGUUGGUGGGGUAAUGGCCUACCAAGACAGCGAUGCGUAGCCGACCUGAGAGGGUGAUCGGCCACAUUGGAACUGAGAUACGGUCCAGACUCCUACGGGAGGCAGCAGUGGGGAAUAUUGCACAAUGGGCGAAAGCCUGAUGCAGCAACGCCGCGUGAGUGAUGAAGGUCUUCGGAUUGUAAAGCUCUGUCUAUUGGGACGAUAAUGACGGUACCAAAGGAGGAAGCCACGGCUAACUACGUGCCAGCAGCCGCGGUAAUACGUAGGUGGCAAGCGUUGUCCGGAUUUACUGGGCGUAAAGGGUGCGUAGGCGGAUGUUUAAGUGAGAUGUGAAAUACCCGGGCUUAACUUGGGUGCUGCAUUUCAAACUGGAUAUCUAGAGUGCAGGAGAGGAGAAUGGAAUUCCUAGUGUAGCGGUGAAAUGCGUAGAGAUUAGGAAGAACACCAGUGGCGAAGGCGAUUCUCUGGACUGUAACUGACGCUGAGGCACGAAAGCGUGGGUAGCAAACAGGAUUAGAUACCCUGGUAGUCCACGCCGUAAACGACGAGUACUAGGUGUAGGAGGUAUCGACCCCUUCUGUGCCGCAGUAAACACAUUAAGUACUCCGCCUGGGAAGUACGAUCGCAAGAUUAAAACUCAAAGGAAUUGACGGGGGCCCGCACAAGCAGCGGAGCAUGUGGUUUAAUUCGAAGCAACGCGAAGAACCUUACCUGGACUUGACAUCCCCUG
rnacentral:rRNA from 1 species